rnacentral:lncRNA from 1 species
CAUAUUUCACUCUCUCUUUCUCAAUGUUUCUCAUCUCUCUGCUUCUACACUCUCACAGAAAAACCAACAAAUCUCAUAAGUUGUCUCAACCUCACUCUCUAUUUUAAAUUCCUUUACUUUCUCAAAUGAAAACACAACAUACAUAAACCAAAUAAAAUCACAAGGAAAGCUUUGAAUAAAAUAUAUAAAAAGUGAGGAUUACCGGCGAUACUCGUAGAUCUGACGGUGGCAGAUCCGACGAGAGGGAGCAAUUGCACUAGUGGGAUGACGGUGAGCAAUGGAUUUGAUGAUUAUCUAUCUUAUUCUUUUUGCUUCUAUUUUUUCAUUUUUAUUUUAUUAUUGUUAUGUUGAUAUUUGUGAGUUGUAGAUGUAGUAAGAUGAAAGUUUAUUUUAUGUGAAGAAAAAGAUGAAAAGUGAUGUUGCUGUUAUGUGAAGGUUUGUUGAUUUAUGUUAUGUGGUUGAAUCAAUACGAUGGCCACCCUCAGAUCCCCCUUCAUACUUUCUGUUACUUCUUAUUUAUAUUGAAAAUAAAUAAAUUAGGAUUGUUUGAAUAUAAAAAUAUUUUUGAUUUUGAUUCAAUUUAAUUUCUGAUGAAAUUCCUGCUUAAUUGCUCAAAUGAUGAUACUCUGCUCUAUCCUUUUUACAAUUGACCUUUUAAAAUAAGUUUUACUUAAGAAAAUACUAACUGUUGUGUUCUGUUAUCACUGCUGCAACAAGACAAAAUAACUGUCCAAGGAGAGUAGAAAGAAGUGGCAGGACAAAGUGGCAGGACAUUUUUGGGGUUCUGUAGAAUUUGAACGGAUAUAUGUAACUAGUAUAUAGGUAACUAAUGCAUUUGAAGGACAACAAUUCUAGUUACAUUAACAAUGUAAACAUAUUGGAUAUGCCUUGUAAGCAUAUUGUAAUUUUACUUAUAUGUAACUUUUUGCCUUGAUAAUUCUAGUUAUUGUUACAAUGUAACUAUAUAUUUAUUGAUUUUCUUUAAAAUAUAUUUUUUUAAACUAA